GAUGAACGCUGGCGGCGUGCUUAACACAUGCAAGUCGAACGAUGAAGCCCAGCUUGCUGGGUGGAUUAGUGGCGAACGGGUGAGUAACACGUGAGUAACCUGCCCUUAACUCUGGGAUAAGCCUGGGAAACUGGGUUUAAUACCGGAUAGGAGCGUCCACCGCAUGGUGGGUGUUGGAAAGAUUUAUCGGUUUUGGAUGGACUCGCGGCCUAUCAGCUUGUUGGUGAGGUAAUGGCUCACCAAGGCGACGACGGGUAGCCGGCCUGAGAGGGUGACCGGCCACACUGGGACUGAGACACGGCCCAGACUCCUACGGGAGGCAGCAGUGGGGAAUAUUGCACAAUGGGCGCAAGCCUGAUGCAGCGACGCCGCGUGGGGGAUGACGGCCUUCGGGUUGUAAACCUCUUUCAGUAGGGAAGAAGCGAAAGUGACGGUACCUGCAGAAGAAGCACCGGCUAACUACGU
rnacentral:rRNA from 1 species